rnacentral:lncRNA from 1 species
ACCUAAUGUCUUUUGCUCUUGUCCGUUUCAAAAAAAAAGUAUUUUGCUCUUGUUCUAGUUUCAGUAUCCUUUAGGGUUCAAGUUGUUGGGCUCAUACCCAAGACAACAGUCGAUGGAUGGAGAGUCACACUAUUUCGGAUUAGGUAGUUACUGGUUGACUGCAUACAAUCUAACCAGUCGCGGCAAACACUGCAAAACUACAUCUAAUCUUCACGGCCUUCACCAUUUCAUACUUUGUCAAUUUCUCAGUGAAUACCAUCAACAUAAUUUUGUAGGAACCAAGUUGAAAUUUCAAAUAAUGAAAUUUCAACUUGCAUGAGAUUCCACUUAUUCUAUGUGAUACUCUCGAGAGAUGGAAUUGGGAAUCUGUUUCGUCAUUGAGAGCAACUAACUGCCGUUAUUCCGAGGCAGUUUCCCAUAAAGCAGACUAACUAGUAGGGUGAAAGAAUCCAGUAGCAAACGAGAUUGAUUCCAACUCCAUUAGUCUUCUGUGUUUGCAAGCAUCCUUAUGACAUCCUUUAAAAGCUAGAGGAACUUCCUAUUUCAUGAGUUACCUAUAUAGUUUGGUAAAUGAUCUCUACAAUUAUAUCUAAGAGACGACUAACAUAUAGACACCACAACUUCUUCUGUCACUUCCCACAUUUCAAACUUAUGCAUAACAUAAAUUAGGCCACAAAUGUGAUAUUCAGAGAGAAGUUGAAGACUUAGAUGGAGGAUAUCACAGAAGCAUCAAGAGCGCAAAUGCGACAUAGAAGACAAACAACAUUAUAUGUGGCUAACUGAGGUGUUGCCGGCAUCAAGCGCACACAAAAGAGACCAACAAAUGUUAGAGGAGAAAGGAAAAUAAUAUUCAAUGUAAAAUGCUUAGAUAUGAUCUAAUGACAUUUUUGUUUUUGGUACAUGAGAUCUAACGACUUUAAUCAAUCCAAUGGUUAAAAAUUGUGGAGACGUAAUCCUAUUGCAUUUUCCAAUUGUUUAGAAUGUUGAUCAAAUUUUCUUUGAGAAUACAAUGAUACAAGAUCAAGGACUUAUGCAUUUUCCAAUUAUUUUGCUCCAAUUUUGCCAAUUGCUCUUUGGACUUCGUAAUCCUAUGCAUAAAAUAACUCUCAUGGUUCAGCUUUUUCUUACCUUGCUCAAAUUCAGAAUAAUUUUUGUAUUUUGUGAUAAUCCUUUUUGGACUUCCCAUGGGAAAGACAAAAGCUCCGGCCGUGAAUGAAAAUCGAUAUAAAGUAUAACAAAAACAUCAAUCCUACAAAGGGUUGCGUGUUCAUCAAUCUUCUUGGUCAAACUCUUUUUUCUUUUGUUGUAAAGUUGUCCUACAACAAAAGAAAAAAGAGUUUAACCAAGAAGAUUGAUGAACUUACAACCCUUUGUAUGAUUGAUGUUUGUGAUAUACUUUAUAGCAAUUUUCAUUCAGAUCCAGAGGUUCUGUCUUCCCCAUGUGAAAUCCAAAAAGGAUUAUCACAAAAUACAAAAAGUAUUACGAAUUUAAAUAAGAUAAGAAGAAGCUGAACCACGAGAGUUAUUUUAUGCAGAGGAUUACGAAGUCCAAAGAGCAAUUGGCAAAAUUGUUUUUAUAACAAUUGGAAAAUGCAUAAGUAUUAUCUUUGAAAUGAAUAAGAUGUAUCAUCGUCCUUUUAAAGCAAAGAUAAAUUUAUUAUCAACCUUGUGUGAUCCAAACAAUAUAGUAGUCGGUUAAUGAUAUUGAUUUUUAUUUAUUUAUAUCAGUAGUUUUUUUAUCGAUAAUAUAAAUUAUUUUUGUGUUUUUAACUUCAAUAAAUAAUUAAAAGGACUAACUAACCGUUGUUGUAUAGAGUGAUGACGAUCGCAGAAGACAAGGCAGUGGUGGCGUGAUGGCGGUGUAGAAGUAGCACGGUGGUGGUGCAAGAGUGAUNNNNNNNNGGGGGGGGGGGGGGGGGGAGAAUAUAGAUUGAGAUAUAGGAAAAGAUUUAUGAAAGGGAGAUUUUGAGAGAGAAAGAAGAGAGAAGUG